AUAGCACAGCUUUCAAAACCAGGGCAAAGCAGCCCGAGGUGGUUGGAAACUCAUUGGUGAGGCCACGGCUCGGGCUGAAGUCAUGCUGGUGCCUGCAGCUGAGCUCUGGAUGCAGAUCUGAGCCACUCCACCAGCAGAAAGCGGUCGGGUUUUCAGAUCUGCAAACAGAAAUGGUGAUUAGAGCUGAGCCCGUGCUCGGUGGAGUGCUCUGCUCGUAGAUGAUCAAUGAAGACUGAUGGAAAUUCCCAUUCAUCAGCCUCAAGGUGUUGUGCUGAGCACUGGCAGCUCAGGACCUGUUUUUGGGGGCAGGUAGCGCUCUCUUUCUCAUCUUUUCCUGCUUAAAAUAAACAAAACCAACCAUCUUUCCCUCCCCUGAAUCUUGUCCAAAUCCAUUCCCUGGCCCUCUGCCUCGUUUCUGAAUGACUCCAUGGGAGUCCUUGAGUCUCAGCAUUAUUAUAUUUUAUUUAUACAGCACAAUAAACGCGCGUGGCACUUUCCAGCAUACAUCAAACAGCAAGGUCCGUUUUCUGAUGAGUGUACAGUUUGAUUCAGGGAAAAAAACACUGUAUAUAAAACAAACAGCCUCUCAGCCUGGUGAGGAGACUGAGGGCGCUUUGCUUUAUUUCCUCAACCCCUAAAACUGAAACAAGCAGGAAAAAGAUCAGUGUUUGUAGGCACACAUUUCAUCUCACGCAGCCCCUGGGUGGAAAUGGCUGAAGCUGAGCGCUCUGGGAUGGCUCCAGCCAAACAUCAAAGCACCUUUGUGUGUUCUGUUGGCUGGAGAGUCCCAUGAGAAGGAAUGGUGAAAAAGGAGGCCAAAGGGAUUUCAUGGAGUCAUAGAAUCUUGAUUUCUCUGAGCAGCUGCGUGCCGUAAGCCCAACAAAAUGCCAGGUAUCAGGUGGCGAAUUGGUUAAUUUUGGAAUCAGCCUAAGAAUGCCUACUGAUAAAGGACAGAUUUGUUUUCCAAAGGCUUUCCAAAGAGAGCUUUCUUCGGGCACAGCUACACUCACCCAAACAGCAGUGGGUAAAUGCACGGCUCAAAGGAACAAAUGAGCAACGCGGUGCCCGAAGGCAUUGUGUUUCCCCACCGAUGAGCUUAAUCCAAAGCCUUUUCCUCCCUGAAGCAGCUGAAAAUCUCUCCUGGGAUUCUGGAGAUCUUCACCCCCCCCUCCCGACCUCAGCGCUGCUUUGAAGCCACGAAGGGCCGGCAGCCAACCCCGGAGAUUUCAGCACAUAUUUUCCCUUUGGCUACAGCAGAAUCCACAUCAUCAGCACCGGUUGCACCGCGGCGAGAUGUCGAUGUCGUGCAGCAUCACAGAGGUGACAACGCGACAGCAGCACUGGGAUUUCUGUGUGAGGAAUUGUGGUGAUUGUUCAUUUCUGCGCCGCGCUGAACAUGUCCUCAGAGGUUGAGAUGAUAAGUCUAAACCCAUUUAUAUUGUCUAAACUACUUUUUUUUGGGGCUGGGGAAUUGGGUAUUCUCUUUUUUUUUUCCAACCACGGAGUUUCAAUCAUCUCAAAUUGCUAAACAGGCUCUUUUUUUUUUUUUUUUUAAUUAAUUUUGAUUUUAUUUAAUGAAGUGCCCAGGAAGGGAGAGUUCGAAGAUCAUCUGGAACACAAAGGGUUCACACUGUGUAGGCAAAAAGGCUCAUGGUGGCCUACAGCUCCACCAUGGCGGUCUAUGGCCAACUCAUGGUGGCCCCAUGGCCAACUCAUGGCCUACAGCCAACUCAUGGCACAGAGAUGCGUCAGGGGAGGGUCAGGUGGGUAUUAAGAAAAGGUUCUGCAACAGAGGAUGGUGGGCACGGAACGGCUCCCCAGGGCAGCAGGCAUAGCCCAGAGCUGCUGGAGUGCCGGGACACCGCUCUAAGACCUUGGGUUUGUAUUUUGGGUGCUGGGUGGGGACAGGGGAUGGACUUGAUUCCAUCCAACUCGGGAUGUUCCAUGGUUCUAUGAAUCUUGCUUACAUGCCCCAGGGCAUUUCAUAGAGCUCACAGCAGCACAUGACCAUGAUGCAGAUGCUGCCCAAGUGGGGAUAACGGAUCCCACUGUGCUCACCGAGCUCAGAGAGCUGCUCUCCUCAGAAUAAACCUCUCGUGGAGGAGAACCAGGAACACGAACACUUCAGGAACCACUUCGGUUGCUAAGGGACAUUCAUGCAGGAAAACCUGCUGCAGGAGGGAAGCGCUGGGCUCUCUGCCCCCAUCUCCCCCAUGCAGCUCACCCUUGUGUCACCCAUGGGGCAGGAUUUACCCUGCCUUUCUGCCCACAAAGGCUGCCCCAAGCAAUAGGGCAGCAUCCAAGGGCGCAGUUCAGCCUGCACCAUGCGUGGUGCAGCCUGCAGAGUCCCUCACAACUCAUUUUCAAUUAAAAAUGCUUCGUGCCUGCUGGACUGGGCAACACUUCAACCCCACAGUGCCCACGAGGUGACUCCUGCUUUGAGACCCACAGCAAAUUGGGGUGUUGGAAUGGUGACUCCAAAAGGGACUUCUCUGUUGGUUAUCCCAUAUUCAAGGACCGAAGGGCACCCAUGGGCGCCCAACUCUGCCACAUCACUGGGGAAUAGACCCAGUGAAGAGAGCCUGGAUGGAGUCACAGGGAUUCCUCCACCCCUCCACACGUCCCAUGGGGGUUUCCCAGCAAACGCCUCCUCCUGCCGCAUCCGCUGAUGGGAAUCUGCAGCGGUGUGAAGUGGGGCGAGGGCUGAUGGCAGUGCGGAUCUGAACCUCGCACCUUCUGUCCAUCUGACGCCUGGCCCCGUGCCGCCAUCCAGAAGGAAAACUGCUGGAACUGCCCAGGGCUGAGAGCAGAGAGGGGUCCCCGUGUCACCGCGGCGGCCGCGAAUCGGUGCCAUCUGCUGCAACGCGGCCGCGGGGCCACGAGCUCCGUCAGCUGAGAUUUUGAGCACAUACUGCCAAAUUAGUUACAGCAAUGUAAUCACAUCCAUCCACCAGAGAGACCACGAGCAGCUGACAGCGCGAAGCAGAGGUGUGCAGGAAUGCAGAUGGACUGGGACGCGGCCCCGACGCCGCUCAGCAUUAAUUGUUGGGAGAAGUCCCCGUUGGAGGCUCUCAUUGGGUUGGAGAAGUUCAUCUUCAGCCAUUGCCACUCAAGGAGGAGAGAGCGUUCCAUUAUCCCCGUUAUCAGGAAGCAUCUUCCUGCUGCUUUUUAAAUGCAGAGCAGCAGUACCUCUCACAAUGCCUGGCUUGCUCCGCCGGGAUCACCAAAUUGACUGCUUCCGUGUAGGAGUGAGGCUGUGCCACAGCUCGUGUGCCUAUUAUUCCUAGUAGAAAUAAAUAAUAAUAAAGCAGUGAUCUCUUUCCUUUCCUCCAGACAGAUGCUGCUCCGCAGAGCUGUCAGCUUGUCACUCAGCAGUGGUUUCCAAAGGCAACCAAGUCAAAGUGGUCCCAGGCAGCGCCUGAUGGGUUUUUGAUACCAGGCUGAGCUCCCAGGCCAGAGGCAGAGAUGCUCCUUGUGGAAACGUCCAUUUUUCAUAGUAUCAUAGAACCACUGAGGUUGGAAAUGACCUCUGAGGUCACCAAGACCAAGCCCAACCCUCUCCACUAUGCCCACUCAUAGAAUCCUUGAAUUAUUAAGGAGAAGACCCACCAAGUCCAACCAUCAUCUCAUCCUCCUAUUCGCACUCAUAGAGCCAUUAAGGCCAGAAAAGAAUUCCAAGAUCCCCAACCCCAACCCAUCCCCACCAUGGCCACUAACCAUGUCCCUCUGAAAAACCCUUUGGCUUAAUUUAUGAGAUACCAGCAACAAGUCAUGCUGGAAAGAAGUCUGCGCACAGACCAUCCGCUGUCCUUGUUCCUGUGUGACCAUCAUGGAGCCCUCCAUGCUCUUCCUCCCACUGUGUCACAAGAACAGGAGCGUGGGGAGGGGUACGCAGUGCCCCGUGCUUGUGGGUGUGUCGGUGUAAUGCACUGCAGCUUCUAAGGAGCAGCCAAUCUCAAUAAAAGAAAAGAGUCCAAAUGCU